AGAGUUUGAUCCUGGCUCAGGAAGAACGCUAGCGGCAGGCCUUAUACAUGCAAGUCGAGGGGCAGCAUUUACUUCGGUAAAUGGCGACCGGCGCACGGGUGAGUAACGCGUAUGCAACCUACCUUUAACUGGGGCAUAGCUCGAGGAAACUCGAAUUAAUUCCCCAUAGUACAAUAUAAUAUCGCAUGAUAUAAUUGCUAAAGAUUUAUCGGUUAAAGAUGGGCAUGCGUCUGAUUAGCUUGUUGGUAAGGUAACGGCUUACCAAGGCAACGAUCAGUAGGGGGUCUGAGAGGAUGAUCCCCCACACUGGUACUGAGACACGGACCAGACGUCUACGGACGGCAGCAGUAAGGAAUAUUGGGCAAUGGGCGCAAGCCUGACCCAGCCAUGCCGCGUGCAGGAUGACGACCCUAUGGGUUGUAAACUGCUUUUAUACAGGAAGAAAAUACUCUCGCGAGAGGAUCUGACGGUACUAUAUGAAUAAGGACCGGCUAACUCUGUGCCAGCAGCCGCGGUAAUACGGAGGGUUCAAGCGUUUUCCGGAUUUAUUGGGUUUAAAGGGUGCGUAGGUGGUUUAUUAAGUCAGUGGUGAAAUCCUGC
rnacentral:rRNA from 1 species